UACGGAGGGGGCUAGCGUUGUUCGGAAUUACUGGGCGUAAAGCGCACGCAGGCGGUCUUUUAAGUUUGACGUGAAAGCUCCCGGCUUAACUGGGAGAGGUCGUUGAAUACUGGAAGACUUGAGGCAAUGAGAGGGGUGUAGAAUUCCCGGUGUAGUGGUGGAAUGCGUAGAUAUCGGGGGGAAUACCAGUGGCGAAAGCGGCACCCUAGCGUUAGCCUGACGCUCAUGUGCGAAAGCGUGGGGAGCGAACGGG
rnacentral:rRNA from 1 species